rnacentral:rRNA from 1 species
GACGGGGGGGGGCAAGUGUUCUUCGGAAUGACUGGGGCGUAAAGGGCACGUAGGCGGUGAAUCGGGUUGAAAGUGAAAGUCGCCAAAAAGUGGCGGAAUGCUCUCGAAACCAAUUCACUUGAGUGAGACAGAGGAGAGUGGAAUUUCGUGUGUAGGGGUGAAAUCCGUAAAUAUACGAAGGAACGCCAAAAGCGAAGGCAGCUCUCUGGGUCCCUACCGACGCUGGGGUGCGAAAGCAUGGGGGAGCGAACAGG